AAGCACGAAACUUGCCCCGAGAUGAGUUCUCCCUGACUCCUUGAGAGUCCUGAAGGAACGUUGAAGACGACGACGUUGAUAGGCCGGGUGUGUAAGCGCAGCGAUGCGUUGAGCUAACCGGUACUAAUGAACCGUGAGGCUUAACCUUACAACGCCGAAGGUGUUU
rnacentral:rRNA from 1 species